rnacentral:rRNA from 1 species
AGGGCAUCCACAAUAGGGGAAACCCUGAUGGUGCGACGCCCGCGUGUGGGAUGAAGGCCCUUGGGUUUGUAAACCACUGUCAGGAGGGAAUAAGGCUCCGAUGCUCACGUUUCGGAGAUUGAAGGUACCUCCAGAGGAAGCACCGGCUAACUCCGUGCCAGCAGCCGCGGUAAUACGGAGGGUGCAAGCGUUGUUCGGAUUUAUUGGGCGUAAAGGGUGCGUAGGCGGGUUGGCAAGUCUCUUGGUUAAAUUUUCACCGCUCAACGGGAAAACGCCGGAGAUACUGCCAGUCUUGAGAGCGGUAGGGGUGAGUGGAAUUCCUGGUGUAACGGUGGAAUGUUUAGAUAUCAGGAAGAACACCAGUGGCGAAGGCGACUCACUGGACCGCAUCUGACGCUGAGGCACGAAAGCUAGGGGAGCGAACAGGAUUAGAUACCCUGGUAGUCCUAGCCGUA